UCAAAACCGCGUCAAUCUUUAUGGGACGGAGGGAGUACGAUGUUAAAUAUUCGUUGAUCAAACAGAAAAUAAACAAAAGCUACUACACGAUCUAUUUCGAUGCCAAGCUUCAGCCUAGUAGCACGAGAGCGCGAGAUCCUUUUCCAGCAAUCAGCACACUCCCGACUUCUCUGCGUCUUCGUGCAAGAUCGAGGUCUUGUUUGGGCUCUUAAUGGAAGAAGCAGAUAUGAAUUGGGGAAUAGUUCAUUCAUUCGUUCAUGUCUUUCUUACACAGCCACAAAACACUUUCUUAGCGCACCCAGCUGCACGCGCCAUCGGCAUCGCUAUUCUCCGCCUUCUCCUCUCCGAGGCGACUUCACACUUUACGCCUCCCCUGGUCUGUCAUCCUGAGGCUUGAAAUGACCAUGACGCUUGAGGUGGAUGGGCAAGCAGGAGCAGCAGCCGAGGUUUGCGUCUGCGGAGGCGCACGGACAGCUGCACUUGAACGAUGACGGGGAGCACAUGAAGUUCCGCAUCGGCUACCACCGAGCUCGCUAGCGCUUCCCAAAUCCCAAGGUCCUAUUUGUUUGGGCUUCUGUUUCAGUUUUUGAUGCUUCUAGUUUUCUAAAAAACACUUAUCCUGUUUACACAUGAAGCUGAAAAGCACGUCCAAAGAUGAGCUUCAUGUGUAAAUGAGAGAAGUGCUUUUUAGAGGACUAGAAGCACCAAAAGUUAAAGCAGAAAUCCAAACUAACAUGGCCUAAGCUUGGUGUACUGGAGUAUUUGGAAGCAUCGAAACACGGUGGUCUUCGACGGGGCGAUGCCGAGCGCGCUUCACAUCCUCCGCAAUUGGCCAGGAAGGAGAUGCUUGGCGACGUGUGGGAUUGUUCGUGGGUUUGUUACUUUUUUUGUGAUUUUAGAUGUAGCGUGGAUGUUGCGUGAGUAAUCCCUGCAAUUGAUUAGGGUCUAUCCACGCAUUAAAGAAGAAGAUACAUCCUGCAGGAAUUUAUUGCGUUGUCAUUAUUUUUUGUAUUUUCAGUGUUAACUUGGCUGUGAUUAGGGUCUCCAAUGAUCAUAUGUUUUGUAGUAAAAGUAAGCAUCGAAGAACCCAACGCAGAAGUAAA